CUCUCUCUCUCAAAUUGAGACUUUAUAGGUCAGACCUAAAUCAAAACCAGAUCUGUGCAACCCCCUCUCCCUCGUCCACCCUCUGUUUUCGAUCCCUGUCUCUCUCUUCUCCAUUAGCGGCCUGCUUCUCGGCCGCUACCUCUCUUACCUUGAUUUCUCACUACUGAUCGAAACCCUAAGCUAACACCUCAAAAAAGCCAACCCAAAAUCUGAAUGCAAACCACUCUCCCGCCACACUUUCUGUCUUCCUCCACCGUCAUCCGCCAUCUGCAAUUUCUCCAUGCUCAUCUCUUUAAUCUCUUACCACUUUUGUCUAUAAACGUCAAACCCCCAUCAUACCCUUUUCUAAUUCCCUUCCAAAUUUCCCAUAUUUUUCUCAAUCUAACACCCAAUUUUCUCUGCCCAGCAUUUUCAUAUGCAGGGUGUGGGGGAUCAUGGGUUCCAAGGAUCCUGCUCUGGUGGUUGACAACGUUAAGAGGGCAAAGCAGGUGCCGGUGGACUGAUUUCACUCUCUUUAUAGCAUGCAAGUGAAAACAUAAAUGUGGUAUUGCUUAUAUUUGCAUAAGAGGUCUUGUGUGAAAAUUAAAGUCGGACAAUAUCAAGGGGGAAUUGUACUUGGUAUUAAUAAAUUGGAGGAUAGAUUUGUGUCUCGAACUAGCAUGUCAUGCACAAGCCAAAGGUUUGUUUAAAUUGUCAUCUUGUCAAUUAUGACGAUUCUGAAUUUGGGUUUCAUGAUGGAGAACGAGGUGAGUUGCUUACCGCACACACCAGAGGAGGAGAAGCGGAUCAUUGAUGAAUUGGGCUGUCAAUCUGAAGCCAAUGUCAAACAAGGCAACUUGUUCUACGUUAUUUCUAACAGGUGGUACUCAAGCCUCUAAAAGAGAUGUAGGGGUUAUUGUUCAACAAUUCAGAUCUGACAUUGACUUCCAGGAAUUUUGCUUGCAAGUGUUACUUGAAUGUGUAAGCAAGGACAUGCCUGCUCUUUUACAGGAUCUAAGAUCUUUCUCCGUUGCCUCUAACGAGGAUCUAAGAGCUCGUUUCGGAUCUCGUUCUGUGCUGUGGAAUAAUGGAUACUCGUAAACGAGGGAGGAAUGAAGCUACUGGCUUUCAUGCUAAUGGAGGCUUCAAGAAGAACAAGCAAGUUUUGAUUGAAUGACUCCCUGCACCAAGUUUUUCAGGUUAUGAUUGAAGAUAUUGGGAAGCAGAUUAAGCAACUAUAAACCUACAAGGUGCAAGACAUUGAUUUACUUGACUAGAAUUGUUGAACUGUAAUUUGUUAUACUUUAUAAAUUUGUUUGCAUAUGGUGUAUUUUGAUUCAGUUAAUAUUGCAUUUGGUGGUGUAUUUUGAGGGGUGUACAAUUGGAGAAAGCUUCCUCUUGUUAUUAAUUAAU